GCAAAAAAAUUAAUUUCUUCAUUAAUUUUUAAGAUCCACUUUGUACAACAAAUAAUUGGGAUUUUAAUUUUGUGCAAUCAAUUGAUAUUGAAGAAGCUCUAUAAGUAUUUAAGUACAUACGAUGACUCUUAAAUGUAGCAAAUUAUCAGUCAACAUUCUUAAGAAAGCCUUCAAGACUUAAGAAUUUAAAUUGGACACUAACUCAGAAUACACAUUUGCACUUUAGAAAAUUAAACUUUAAAUCUUCAAAUAUGCCUAAUCUUCAAACUUCAAAAUUACUUUAAAAUACAAAUUAAAUAAAAUUUGUAAGGCUCAGAUAGAAUUUUUAAAAUCUACAAAUAUCUAGCUGUGAUAAUCAAUAUCCAUAUAAUUUAUUAUUUAUUAAUUUUGUAUCAAUGUAAAAAGAAAAG